UAGUGGUGGAGAAUAAACAUUUCACCAAUUGGAAUCAUGAUAACAUGAUAAUUCAAGUACAUUAUGCGGAAGAAAAAAAAACCUUAACCGAUGAGAGUCGCUUUCCCUUUACUAACUGGUUCUCUUUCAAGCUAUUUCAAAACCCUAUCUCAAAUAAUCAUGGUUCUCAGCUAGAUCUCCGUUCCACCGGCCCUUCAGAUGCAUUUAAGAUUUGUUUGCUAGAUUGUUGAGAUACCCAACCUUUAUUCAUGGGAUUUCUGCUCUAAUUAACGAUGAUUGCUGCGAUUUUGUGUUUUGGUCUUCAAUGGAGGUAGUUUCGGCGAUGUGCUUCACCAUGAAUACUUCUGGCCCCUGUUUUUUGCUGAAUCCUCCGAUGAUUUCUUCAAGAUGUUCAGACAAGGUUUGAUUGUCGUUGGAGUGUUGUUUUCUCAAACAUUUAAGCCACUGUGAGGCCACUAUGAGGAUUUGUAUAACUAGAUCUUUAGAUGAAAAUUCAGGGUUUUUUCAAUUUCAAACACAGCUGAGUAACAGUGAGGGUUCCAAUAGAAUGAUGAUACCGGGGCAACCUCCACCAAGCUAAGACUUUUGUCAUUUCGCAUGACUUUUUACAUUGGGUAAAAUCUUCCCCUAGGAUAUCAACGAAGAUUAGAAGGUUUAUCAACUUCAAAUCCAGGAUAGUUUGCUGACAUUUCGAGUAAUUCAGCGACGCUCCUUAUGAAGCAGCAAUUUUAUUUCCUUCAUAUCUUUGGUCUUAUUUGAGCCUUUUGGAUCCAUUUAACAAGCUCAAAAUCAUGACCUUGGGGAAUUCACAGCCGGUAGCAAGUAUUUUAGCUUCCUAUUUAUCACAAGAACCGAAGGAAUCAAAGAGCUAUAUAAGUUUUUCUCAAGUUCUCAGUAUCUCAACAUAAUGCAACAAGUUCUAAAUGUUUACUAUCUGGGCCGGUGGAGCAUCCACCUCCAUCCACUUAUUUUCUUAGAUAGCUUUAGCGUUCAGUAGUUUCUUGUAACAAGCUCUAGGUCUACUUGUAAUAAUAAUAUCAAGUGUAGUACAUUUUUAAGUUAUUAACUUUACAAACACUAUUGUAAUUACUUUAGGUACUUGGUUUUUUAGAAAGUUUUAUCACCCUAGAUUCUGGUUUAGCACAAGGAGUUUGCAUUUUUAUACUUCCUGUAUUGUGGCUAAAUCGUCUUCGAUUCAUCUUCUGCAUCAACUAAAAGCCAAGUACUUUUUUGAAGUCAUGGAUCAAGACGAAAAAAAAGGAACGACACAAUAUAUGUUCGGGUACAACUCAGCAGAUGGUAGCAAAUGCCUGACUAGCACCUUCAAUCAAGCGCAUGAACCUCACUACCAUCAACUACAAAAUACAGCUCAUUGAACGAAGGUCCCCAAUUCCAACAUCUUCCUGACCGUUGUUCACAUUUCGCUCCACUAUCUUUUCGCUGUUGAUUCACGCAAUACCAAUCUGAUUGUAAUUUUUGAAUCCUUGGA